UUAUACUUCAUAUGGGCCCACCCAUAUAAUGUUGCUUACGGGCCUAUUGUUGUGUCGUUACGCCACUGCCCAAAACGUUAUCUUUUUAUUUAAAAAAAAUGUAAUUAUUAUUUAAAAAAUAAACGGUCCAGUCCAGCAAAUGUAGCUGAUGCAGGGAGGAGAAUGACGCACAGCAGGCGGAGAGGAUCAGCACCGCUGGCUGUGAGCGAAGCAGCCUGCAAAAAUAAAUAAAUAAAAUGCAGCGACUGAACACAUUGACCGGAGUGAUGUCUGUGCAGCUGAACGGGGAAAUAAGUAAGAUGAGAAGCGCUGCCGUUUAGCCACCGCCGCUCAUUCCUGCAGAGGCUGACAGGGUUGCGCAUCGGGAUAUGGACUCAGGGAAUGCGGCCACCGGGGAUGAUGGGAGCCCUACAGGCGCAGGGGCCGCCGGAUCCAGCCUGCAGCUUGACUUCGGGGACACCGAUUCAACCCAGAAAGCUCAAAUAACGGAGAUGCCAUCCCUGUUUGGUACGGAACCAGCUCGCGAGAAGAAGAUUGGCCAUAGGAGAGUAGAUGCCCAUGGAGAGACAACAUACAAAAAAACCACCUCAUCUGCCUUGAGAGGGGCAAUCCAGCUGGGGAUCGGAUACACAGUUGGCAACCUCAGCUCCAAGCCUGAGAGAGAUGUCCUCAUGCAGGAUUUCUAUGUGGUGGAGAGCAUCUUCUUCCCAAGUGAAGGUAGCAACCUCACUCCGGCUCAUCACUACCCGGACUUCAGGUUUAAAACUUACGCCCCCGUGGCUUUCCGCUACUUCAGGGAGCUGUUUGGGAUCCGACCAGACGACUACCUGUAUUCGCUGUGUAAUGAGCCACUGAUUGAGCUGAGUAAUCCGGGAGCGAGCGGCUCCAUAUUCUAUGUGACCAGUGAUGACGAGUUUAUCAUCAAAACUGUCCUGCACAAGGAAGCUGAAUUUCUGCAGAAAUUACUCCCUGGAUAUUAUAUGAACUUGAACCAGAACCCUCGCACAUUGCUGCCCAAGUUCUUUGGCCUCUACUGCAUCCAGUGUGGAGGCAAGAACAUUCGAAUAAUUGUGAUGAACAAUAUAUUGCCACGCUCGGUUUGCAUGCACCUCAAGUUUGACCUAAAGGGCUCGACGUACAAGAGGCAAGCAUCCAAGAAGGAAAGAGAAAAGUCCAAACCCACAUUUAAAGAUCUGGAUUUUUUGUGUGACAUUCCUGAGGGCCUCACGCUGGAUCAGGAAACGUACAACGCUUUGGUCAAAACUUUGCAAAGAGACUGCCUGGUUCUGGAGAGCUUUAAAAUUAUGGAUUACAGUUUGCUGCUUGGCAUCCAUAACAAAAGCCUAGCAGAGAAACAAAAUCAGUCCCAGGGAUCACCAGCAGGAGGCGGUGAUGAGAAGAAGCCCUCAGGACAGAGGGCUCUGUAUUCCACUGCUAUAGAGUCCAUACAAGGAGGGACCACAUGCAGGGAAACCCUGGAACAUGAUGACACUAUGGGAGGUAUUCCAGCUAUGGGAAGUAAGGGAGAGCGCCUCCUUCUGUUCAUUGGGAUUAUUGACAUUCUGCAGUCCUACAGAUUGAUUAAAAAACUGGAACACUCUUGGAAGUCUCUGAUCCACGAUGGAGACACAGUAUCCGUCCACAGGCCUAGCUUUUAUGCAGAGAGGUUCUUUAAGUUCUGUAGCACAGUUGUCUUCAGGAAAAGCUGCUCAUUACGACCAUCUCCAUCUAAGAGAGGCCGAGGGGCUCUCUCCUCAUCCAAGUACAGUGCUGGAGCUGGACAGCGUCCCUCACUCACUGAAGAAAGGCAGGAGAACCUGGAGAACUUGGAGAACCUGAGAGGAAUCCGCAGCUUCUCUAUAGUAGAGGAGAACGGCAAAGAGCCACCCUGCACCCCCCCAUCAUUGGAAGAUGCAACGACUGCAUCUAUUGCAACCACUCUGUCAUCUGACAACUCUUUACCAACCACCCCGUUCGACACUCCAGAGCAUCCGCGCUUCAGAAGGCCAAUGCAUUCACCCAACAUAGUCAGAUCCCAAAAAGAGCCACUUGCUGCCCACAGUGAACGUCAGGACACCAUAACUGUGGAGGUGGAGCUCAGCAAGAUCCCACAGAGCACGGAGCUCACACAGAGGACAGGAAUCACGUCUUCCAGCCAACAAUCACUCAGCCAUCAGACCUGCACAGUUUCUUCAUCCACCCCCAGUUCUACUUGUUCGUCCUCUGCAUAUUCCUCCGCCACCCUUCCUCCGUCCUUUGCGUCAUCCUCCUCCUCUGCUCAAUGUGUUGCCCAGUCAUCUGCUACACUUUCUUCAUCCAUCCGUCCGUCUACCAAACCACUCACCUCUUCGUUAGCAGCUCAGUCUUUAACUCUUUCCUCCACAACCUCUGAUUCAGCUGCACAAUCUCUUCAGCAUGCUGGGUUGUCUUCGAAUUCCUCCAGCCACACUCCUGCCUCAGCUUUCACUCCCAUUCACCCCGCAUCUGCUAGCCCCUCUCAGCAUCUUCCAUCAACACCUCCCUCCUCUGUCCCCUCAACCCCCCAGUUGCCUCAGGAAGCACCGUCGAAAAAGGAACCUUCGGUGUCCAGCAGCCACAGUUCGCUGGAUGCGGAGGUGCAGGUUUCUGACAUUUACUUUUGCUCCAGUCAGGAUAGCGUGGUAGAGUUAUGAUGACUCAGGAGGACCAGAGCUGUGUUUUCUCACCUUUUCACUGCAGCUCAGAGUCCAGAAGAGGCUCAGAUGUGGAUAGUGAAACAUAAUUUCAGUCGAAGACACUAACGGUGGGCGGAGCCAGAGGCUUUCUCCACACACACAAAAGCUGGGAGGAUUUAAUGAUAAAGGCAGCGGGACGCUGAUGAUUUACUGCUGGCUGCUGAAGCUGCAUGUAGGAGUCUGCUUUGCUUACAGUAAAUCUUAUCAUCAGACAUUCAGCUGAAAGAGUGCAGCUUUGCAUUAUGCAUUAAAAAAACUAUGUACAGGGAGAUUUACUGCUAAAAUGGUGGAAGACUAUAUUAUAGCCUCACAGGACAAUUUGUCCAAAAACAAAGAGGGGAAAUAUAAAUCCUGAGGUAUAAUCAGCUUAGUGGCACUGUGAACGAUUUUGGUGUUUGUGUUAAAACUCUGUCUUGUAAUAUGAUGUAUGAUGAGAUAUAAUAUGAUAAUCAUGCUCAAGAAUCAAACUGAUUUUACUCCAGUAACAUAAACAAAGUGUCGUAGAUUUGAAUUGAAACCAAAUCUUUCUCAAAAGACCAGAAAUCUGUGCAUGCAGAUUGUUUGCAGGGAGAGCAGCCUAAGCAAGGUAGUUCAAACAUUCCUUUCUCUAACUCUGCCUAUGCAAUAUGUGUUAUCGAUUCCUCCUAUUGACUCACUUGUAAUUAGCCCGGACUUCUUUGUGCAUCUGCUUUUCACUAGAAGGGAGUCUUCUCUGUUUAAUUUGAUUUUAGCACUUUAACUGUGUAUAUGGUUGAUUUAAAAAAACAAAACAAAGAAAACUCAGAAAUAGUGUAUAGCCUUUGCAUACACAGCAGUCUUACUCUUCCAGUGAUGAGUAGUAAAAAAAAAGACCUGAAAGCAAAAGGUUUUGCUUAAAAUGCCUUAUCAAUUAACUCAUUAGGGCUUUUUUUCAGAUGAAGUCAUGGAAAAUUAUGACAGAAGAAUUUAAAUAUGGAAAAAAUAUAUAUUAAUGUAAGUAAAAAAACAAAUAUUACUAGCAGGGUUGAGAUAAGAUAGAGAAAAAAAUGAAAUAUUGAGUCAAAAAUAUCUUUUGUAAGUCAUCUGUUUUUUAUGUGCUGCAGUACAUGCAUGUAGGUGUGUACAUGCUACUUGUGUUGUGUCUGCAUGUGUUUGCAUGUCUACAAUGUAUGACUGGGAGACGCAUAUGUUAUAUUUUUCUGUGUUGAAAUUGUCAAAAGGUAUUUGUAAGAAGUCAUUAAACGCAGCAGCAUCUCAUCAGAUUAGAAAAUCAGCAGGAAGUCAAGAUAUUUCAGAAAACAAUUCAAAAAGUGAACAGAUUGAGUGCAAUCAAAUGAUUCAUUUUGAAUGUUUAGAUUUGUUAACUUUAAUAAAUAUAUAACCCAAUAAGAUUUAUUGUUUCAGUUUUAGAACCCAUCAUUUAGAACCCAUAAAAAAAUAUCUGCAUUGAAAAACAGUUAUGAAAAUGCUGCUCACACAGCUGACCAGCUUUAACGUAAACCACAUUCGUUCAUUGCUAAAGAAUAUUAUUCUAUGUUUUUAGCGCAAUUCUUCCAAUAAAGAUGCGUGUGGCUCUUGGUUCAGAAGCAUCCAAGUUCGACUCGCUGUCAAACUUUCUUUCCUCUUGUUCAAGACGCUUUAUUUUCCAAAAAGCAAACAGAAUUUCUUACCACAGUAUGACAGGCAGAUCAUAUCGGCUCAUUUUGUUCCUUUUUAUGCCACUCCAAAAAAAAUUUAUAGCGGUUAAAAACUGUAUGGCUGCGUGCCUGAAUCCAAGAGCUCACCUGGCCCCAAUAGCUAACUUCUAUAUAUUCCAGGUGCUGCAGUCAUCUGUCUAUAAUGAAGCAGCGGAGGCAAGAAACAGCGUAAAUUAUGCACAGAAGCAAAAAAACAACUAAAGAGAUUAAUUAUUUCAUAAUUAAGUCGGCUCAUACUCCAAAACAAAAUAUUUCAUGUUCAUAUAUGUCAUAUUAAAUCAGAUAAAAAUAGUAAACUAGAAAUAAUAAAUAUUUAAUCAGAAAUCAAGCAUUUGGCUCCAACAAUGUUAAUUGAAGAUUAAGUGGAAGGAAAAACAUAAGAAAAGAGAAUUUCGUCUUUCCGUAGUUGUAGUCUAUCCCGCAAUCCUUGCAGGAUUACUGGAGGGUUGGUCUUUCUAAAGAGGGCAUUAAGUAAAAGGUGGGAUCCAACCCACAAGUUCUUGGAUUGACUGGUGAACUUUCUCCUUGAUAGGUCAUCAGUUCAGCCAAUAACACACCAGAUGAAUAACCAUACAUUUGAAUACCUAAUGGCAUUUUACAGACUGCUUACUUUCAUUACCAUUGAAGACUUAAUAGAAAUACAUUGCAUCAAAUUGUAUGUUUAAAAUGUGUUUUACUUAUUGAAUUGAACUACUGCCAUUGAAUAUUUUAAAUUCCAAUUCACUGAGAUUCCUUUGCAUAUUAAUUACCUGUUUUCAUCCUCUGACUGUAUGAAAAACAGUACUGCUGAGUCAGUGUUUAAUGAAGUACGAUACAUUAUAAUGUUUGCAGAACUGAAAGAUUUCCAGUUUUCUGGACACUUAACAUUGCAAUACAUCCUCUUUGAACCUUUUAAAACAUCAAGAGGAGAAUUAGUCCCUGCCAGAGUUGCUUUUGUACUGUAUUGUUUGAGACAGCUCAUGUAAACUCGCCUGUUUGUGGGCGACAGUGUUUGUAGAUUAUCACUGUGAGAAAAAGAAAUAAAAUACUGUUGUGUAAAUAUUGCUGGUUAGUUUCUAAUACGUUAAACCAUCUGUCAUGUUCUUCUCUUUUAGUCCACCAGAUGGCACUGCAGUGCCUAAAAAGAAACAGAUCUCAGAGUUGCUGCAUCUUGAUUGUUAUACAUCAACACACUGCUUUGUUAUCUAAAAUUGACCUCUCUUUGUUACAUUGAGAAUCACAUCUCACUGUCUUGUGCUCUAAAUUAAAAGACAUCAGCGGGGCCUGUUUCUCUUUGUGAUCCCGAUGGACUGUAAAAAUGAGGCCAAUAUUUAAAGCCAUGUUCCACCGCCCUCCUUAUAACUGACAGGUUAAUGCACAUAAACAUAAUGAUAUGAAAUCUUUAUUGCUUCAGUGAGUAUGGCUUGUUUGCUUUAUGGACAAAGGCUGUAAUGCCUACUAAUAAGAUGACAGAUGGUAAAAAAGAUUCAAUCAUCCUUUCACACCAGCCAACUUAUUUAUGUUUUACCUGCAGUACAUUGCUGGCUUUGUACAUCUUUUCACAUUUUUUUCACGUGGCCACCAUCUUCAACGGAAAUUCUUUAGAUAUCUAAAAAGUUUGUCAAUCUUUCUGAGACACUUUUAUAAAUCCAGUUUUCAAUUCCACUUAGAACUUUUUGUUUAUAUCAGCUUUGAACAUUUGGACAGUUUUUUCCAAUUUCCAUGAACUUAAACUCUGUCAAAUAGUGAAAAAUCUAUCUUCAAAUUCCUACCAACAUUUUUAAUUAGAUUUAGAUCUAUGCCAUUUAGCUAUACGUCUAGGGAAAAGUAAAGUAAACCUUCACCACAGCUUUACUGCCUUAUGCAGAUUUUCCUCCUGCUGCCCCUGCUGUAGAGAAGCACAUCCACUGCAUGAUGCAGCUACCUUAGUCUCUCACUGAGGGCACUGUUUGUUCAGGGUGUUUUUUUUUUUAACCACACAUUCCAUUUCGCAUUCAGGACAAUGUCUCAUCAUCUGACCUUCCUUCAUACGUUUUCUGCCUUCCCCUUAUGGCAAACUGUUGAGGGAAAUUAUUUAGUUUUCUUUCAGCAAUUUAAAGGGUCUAACCACUUCUACUUAAUUCUACUGAGUGCAUAAAAAAUAAAUGUUCUCUCAAGAAAUUUCUCGCACUAAGUUUUUGAUUCCUGCUACUCCUUCGGAUUUACCCUGGGUCACCCAACUGAAACCCUGAAUAUCUAUUUUGCCCAGUAUGUAAGGUUUGGGUGAAUGUCUGUGUUUUGGUGGGUCGGCAGUUGUUCCAACAUUUUUUUAUUUUUAGCUGCUGGAUUGAACAUUCUCUGUCAGGUAUCCAAAGUAUUGGACGCUAAUAUGUAACCUAACUGUACUCUAAAUUCCUCCAAGACCUGUUUGCUGUAUUCCCCGGUCUUCAAAAUGCUGUUUGUUAACUAAGGUUUAUUAAGCAAAGCUUUGCAGCUGCUGCAGAACAGCUAGGUUAAUACUGAGGUUACAUUACUCACAGGUGGUUUCUAUUUGCCAAGUAGUCAAAUUUAAGAGAGAAUUGUUGAAAUUGAUUUAUUUUAAGAGUAAAAAGG